UUAAGUGACAAAGCGUACAAGGUGGAUGCCUUGGCAAUCAGAGGCGAAGAAGGACGUGCUAAUCUGCGAAAAGCUUGGAUGAGUCGAUAAGAGGCGUUUAAUCCAAGAUGUCCGAAUGGGGAAACCCAGUGGGUGAAGAACCCACUAUCAUUAUCUGAAUCCAUAGGAUAAUGAGGCGAACCGGGAGAACUGAAACAUCUAAGUACCCCGAGGAAAAGAAAUCAACCGAGAUUUCGUUAGUAGCGGCGAGCGAACGCGAAGGAGCCUGUUAGUGAUAAUGACAGAGGCAGAGGAACAAGCUGGGAAGCUUGGCGACACAGGGUGAUAGCCCCGUACUCGAAGUCCAGGUUAUGGUACUAAGCUAACGACAAGUAAGGCGGGACACGUGAUAUCCUGUUUGAAGAUGGGGGGACCAUCCUCCAAGGCUAAAUACUCCUGAUUGACCGAUAGUGAACCAGUACUGUGAAGGAAAGGCGAAAAGAACCCCGGUGAGGGGAGUGAAAUAGAACCUGAAACCUUGUACGUACAAGCAGUGGGAGCCUGAAAGGGUGACUGCGUACCUUUUGUAUAAUGGGUCAGCGACUUAUAUUUUGUAGCGAGGUUAACCGAAUAGGGGAGCCGAAGGGAAACCGAGUCUUAACUGGGCGAGUAGUUGCAAGGUAUAGACCCGAAACCCGGUGAUCUAGCCAUGGGCAGGUUGAAGGUUGGGUAACACUAACUGGAGGACCGAACCGACUAAUGUUGAAAAAUUAGCGGAUGACUUGUGGCUGGGGGUGAAAGGCCAAUCAAACGGGAGAUAGCUGGUUCUCCCCGAAUCUAUUUAGGUAGAGCCUUGAGUGGACACCUUCGGGGGUAGAGCACUGUUUCGGCUAGGGGUCCAUCCCGGAUUACCAACCCGAUGCAAACUGCGAAUACCGAAGAGUGAUACUCAGGAGACACACGGCGGGUGCUAACGUUCGUCGUGGAGAGGGAAACAACCCAGACCGCCAGCUAAGGUCCAAAGUCUAUAUUAAGUGGGAAACGAAGUGGGAAGGCUUAGACAGCUAGGAUGUUGGCUUAGAAGCAGCCAUCAUUUAAAGAAAGCGUAAUAGCUCACUAGUCGAGUCGGCCUGCGCGGAAGAUGUAACGGGGCUCAAAUAUAGCACCGAAGCUGCGGCAUCAGUAGCAAUACUGUUGGGUAGGGGAGCGUUGUGUAAGCGGAAGAAGGUGGCUCGAGAGGGCUGCUGGACGUAUCACAAGUGCGAAUGCUGACAUAAGUAACGAUAAAACGGGUGAAAAACCCGUUCGCCGGAAGACCAAGGGUUCCUGUCCAACGUUAAUCGGGGCAGGGUGAGUCGGCCCUAAGGCGAGGCUGAAAAGCGUAGUCGAUGGGAAACGGGUUAAUAUUCCCGUACUUGGAUAAACUGCGAUGUGGGGACGGAGCAGGUUAGGUUAGCGUGCUGUUGGAUAUGCACGUUAAGUUGGUAGGUGGGGAGUUUAGGCAAAUCCGGACUUCCUUAACACUGAGAGAUGAUGACGAGGCUCUACGGAGCUGAAGUAACCGAUACCACACUUCCAGGAAAGCCACUAAGCUUCAGGUUUAUCUAAACCGUACUGAAAACCGACACAGGUGGUCAGGUAGAGAAUACUCAGGCGCUUGAGAGAACUCGGGUGAAGGAACUAGGCAAAAUAGCACCGUAACUUCGGGAGAAGGUGCGCCGGCGUAGAUUGUAAGGGUUUACCCCUGAAGGUUGAACCGGUCGAAGUGACCCGCUGGCUGCAACUGUUUAUUAAAAACACAGCACUCUGCAAACACGAAAGUGACGUAUAGGGUGUGAUGCCUGCCCGGUGCUGGAAGGUUAAUUGAUGGUGUAAUCGCAAGAGAAGCACCUGAUCGAAGCCCCAGUAAACGGCGGCCGUAACUAUAACGGUCCUAAGGUAGCGAAAUUCCUUGUCGGGUAAGUUCCGACCUGCACGAAUGGCAUAAUGAUGGCCAGGCUGUCUCCACCCGAGACUCAGUGAAAUUGAAAUCGCCGUGAAGAUGCGGUGUACCCGCGGCUAGACGGAAAGACCCCGUGAACCUUUA
rnacentral:rRNA from 1 species